CAUGUGCCCCGACUUGAGUGGAGCUCUUUUUCUGUUAUCGAUUGUGCAAAAGUUCUUUAGAUUGCUUCAUUUUAUUUGCAAUGACAGAAAAAAGCGGGUAAACUACAGGCGGAUAAAGGC
rnacentral:misc_RNA from 1 species